rnacentral:rRNA from 1 species
UACGUAGGUGGCAAGCGUUGUCCGGAAUUAUUGGGCGUAAAGCGUGCGCAGGCGGUUUUGUAAGCCAGAUGUGAAAUCCCCGGGCUCAACCUGGGAAUGGCAUUUGGGACUGCAAGGCUCGAGUGCGGCAGAGGAGACUGGAAUUCCUGGUGUAGCAGUGAAAUGCGUAGAUAUCUGGAGGAACACCGGUGGCGAAGGCGGCAUCCUGGACCGAGAUUGACGCUGAGGCGCGAAAGCCAGGGGAGCAAACGGG